rnacentral:tRNA from 1 species
AGGAACAUAGUUCAGUUGGUUAGAGCGCCUGUCUGAUACGCAGGAAAUCGGCGGUUCGAGUCCGCCUGUUCCUA